GACAGAGGUCCCGAGCGUUAGGCGGAAUCACUGGGCUUAAAGCGUGUGUAGGCGGCGGCCUAAGUACCUUGUGAAAUCCCACGGCUCACCCGUGGAACUGCUCGGUAUACUGGGUCGCUUGAGCCACUUAGGGGCUACCGGAACAAAUGGUGGAGCGGUGAAAUGCGUAGAUAUCAGGAGGAACACCGAUGGCGAAGGCAGGUCUCUGGGCCACUACUGACGCUGAGAAGCGAAAGCGUGGGGAGCGAACAGG
rnacentral:rRNA from 1 species